CAAAAUCUUACUGAAAUACAAUUACACAUUAAUUCUGCCAUUCAACGAAUGCAAAUGACUUUAGUUAAGCAAUCUAAGUUUUAUUUAUAUAUACAUUCAAGAAUGUAACUCAAAUGCAUUAAAUGUCACAAAACAAUUUCGUGUAUUAAUCUAAUCAUGUAUUAUUCUAUACAUUUCUGAUUCUGUUGUGCUAUUUUUUUUUACUUAAGCAGCCCUACAUGGGAAUCCUGAUGGACCACUUGAAUUCAUCAAAUACCUGUCUCUCAGGUUGGCACGUGAAGUAAACCACUCCAAAAGGCUUGCGUUCACACACAUCACUUCACAAGCGUCUUAUGUAAAGGCUGAAACUCUAUUUGAUUAUUAUUGUAACCUCUGUCACUCAGAGCUGCCCACUCAAAUUAAACCAUUCAUCCCAGGACCCUAAUGUUGCCCCCCAAGCCUCAGUGUAUAUUUGAAAUGUAUCGCUUUACAAAGAGCCGCUGGAGAGCUCGCCCCUCCAUCUGGAUGUCAGUCUGCAAAGUGCCCAAAUUCCCACCCAGCCAAAACAAACAGGCCAACGAGCAUCACAUUCUCCAUAUAAAGCUCACAUCCAGUGAAAUAGAUGUCGUCAGGGCAAGUUUAGACUACAAGAGUACGUAUGUACUAUCAGAGCUUCAUAUCGAAGACAAAUGGGGGAUCCAUUUCCUCACAGAUCAGCUCUUUGGCAGGCUGAGAGAGUCAACGUGAGCACUGGAUUGGAUGGAGAGGUGAAAUGUUAUUUCAUCUGUACUCAUGUGUGUGUUUGUAGAGGAAUGUGGACAAUAUAUUUGACUGCAUGGGACUUAAAAGGCAUGUUUAUUAUUGGGCCAAAAGAGUGUCGUUGACAGAGAGCAAGAAAACGUCAGAGUAGAGAGCCUGGUGCUUUGUUGAACAGCUGUGAUCAUACUGUCCAAAUGAUUAAAAGAAAAGUACAAGAGCUAAAAUUGUUUAAUGUAGAAUAUUUGCUGUUUUAAGAAGACCUAAAACCAGACUUAUUAUAUAAAAUAUUAUGAACACAUAAGCAGUGUUUCAUAUGCCAGUGUUUUCUAGCAAAAGUGCUAUUAUCAAGGUUUC
rnacentral:lncRNA from 12 species